GUCUCAGUGUGACACAGUGUCUCAUUGUGUCUCAGUGACCCAGCGUGUCAGUGUGUCUUAGUGUGACACAGUGUCUUAGUGUGUCUCAGUGUCUCAGUGUCUCAGUGUUACACAGUGUGUCAGAGUCUCAGUGUGUCUCAGUGUUACAGUGUGACAGUGUUUCACAGUCUCAGUGUGUCACAGUAUGUGGGUGUGUCUGUGUGUCUUAGUCUCUGUGCCUCAGUGUGUCAGUCAGUGUGUCACAGUCUCAGUGUGUAGCUUGUGUGUCAGAGCCUCUGU
rnacentral:lncRNA from 1 species